UGCUGUUACAUCGUGCAAUGAUCUGGUAAUGCUGCAAUUUAUUUCAGUUUCUUUUUCCAAGAAUGCCUUAGCUAGUAUGCUUUUAAAGAUGAUCAAGCACCAAUCGUGUGGGUAAAAUAUUUAAAGCAGGCUGUUCAGUGCAAUAAACAGGAAAUUUAGUGAUGCACAAAGAACCGAAUUGUUCUUAUUCAUUUGCAUGUUUGAUUUCGGAAAGAGAGAGCUCCACAGAUACCAUCUGAAUAAGCCAAGAUUGGGACUAUUUUAACAUAGCUGUUAGUUUAUAUUCUAUACACAUAGUAAAGGCUUUUUAGCAAAGGCUUGGUAAGAAAGCUUACAGAUAUGUGACAGAUGUUUCACUGGAUGAUCACAUCGGGAUUUGGUUUGGCAGUGAACACAAAGGAAUAAUGACACUCGUGGUACAUGAGGAGGACCAAAUGGAGAUGGACUCUACAGAGAUGUUGGACAUCGCGUCUCGAAAGCAGCAGCUCAAGCGUCGGAGAACGCUCCUUCUGGAGUUGCAGGAGUUCCUGAUGAAAAACAACUUUAAAGAAGGAAGCUUUCAACCGAAAGAGAUCCAAGGACUAUAUGAGCUGGAGCAGAUUGAAAGAGAGCUACAGAGACUGUCUGAGAGAGAGAGGGAGCUGAUGAGCAGGGAGUAUUUGCAGGGAAAAAACUCCGUCCCAGAAAGUACAGAGGAGUCGUCUGCUAAUGGUAUGUUUCCAGAUUGAUUGUUAAAGGGUGCGGUUUUUGUGUAUCAUUACCUUGAUGAUUAUUAUAAUAAACUAGUAUGUAUAGCUGAAAUACGUCAUCCACAACCCUGACCAGAAUAAAGUGAUCAUCAAAGAUAAAAAUUCAAGGAGUAAAAUUAGUCUGCAAGAUUUCCAGGAAACCACGCCCUGAAAGUGACGAAAGAGUGACGCCCUGAUGAAAGACUUUGUGUGCUGCAUGACUGCAUUCCCUUACUACAGCUCACUUCUAAUAGAGGCAUUUUGUUACAUACAAUUUAGUGACAUUUUUUAAAUCCAUUUAAUAUUUCCUAUAAGAUUGAUAUUUCUUUUACCUCAUCAUAAAUCAGUCCUGUCUGAGUGGUGUUGAAUAUAUCUGUAUGGUUUUUUUCAUGUCACACAGCAAGAAAAAGACUUUCUAAUUAAUAAACAUGUGUAUCUUUUACCUAGUAGCCUUAUCCACUGCCUGGCCAGCCAAAAAAAAAGAAAUUAUGCCUUGAGAAAGCAGCAAAAUCAAAAAUGUAUUCUUUGUUCCUUUUUUUUUUUGGUAAUACAAUUUUCACAAACACCUCCAGGAAUAGAAGCGCAAAAAGUACAAUAUAUAAACAUUCAAGCACAGAGAAAAUGAUUCGAUUACUUUUAGACCAUAUGCCUUUUCUAACUUUGGAGAUGCAAUCCUCUUACCUGAACAUUAUGUAAUAAUGUCAUUUCACAUUUCAGUCCAGAACUUGUCUAAUGAAGAGCCGAGCUCCUCUACACCUGUUCCAGAGGUGAAGGAGGUCAACGACCUGUCACUUUCUCCAGCCAUGGUGAAGUGUCCUACCUGCCAGCAGCACGUUAUCACCGAGAUUCAGCACAAAGUGGGCAAAACAUCUUUUCUCCUCUGCUGUUUCUGCACAUUGCUGGGCUGUGUUGGUGGAUGCUGCCUAUUGCCCUUUUUUCUGAACUAUUUUAAAGACACCAGCCACUUUUGUCCCUCCUGUCACACGGAAAUUCAGAUCGUCCCUCGGAUAUAAAGUGUCCACUGGAACUACAGCCGUCGCCGCUGUCGCCAUGACCUGUACGAUACGACUUUUUAGUGAGCUGGAGUUUGAAUCUGAAGUUAAACCAGGCACUAUAGAUUUACUGUUCGUUGCAUAUUUCAUAUUGGAGAAUAUUAAAUUACCAAACAACAAGAAAACUAUAUUGUAUAUCAGUAUUAUCGUUAAGCUU